rnacentral:rRNA from 1 species
GUAAGGAAUAUUGGACAAUGGACGCAAGUCUGAUCCAGCCAUGCCGCGUGAAGGAUUAAGGUCCUCUGGAUUGUAAACUUCUUUUAUAAGGGACGAAAAAAGGCUUUUCUAAGUCGUCUGACGGUACCUUAUGAAUAAGCACCGGCUAACUCCGUGCCAGCAGCCGCGGUAAUACGGAGGGUGCAAGCGUUAUCCGGAUUCACUGGGUUUAAAGGGUGCGUAGGCGGGCAGGUAAGUCAGUGGUGAAAUCCUAGAGCUUAACUCUAGAACUGCCAGUGAUACUAUCUGUCUUGAAUAUUGUGGAGGUAAGCGGAAUAUGUCAUGUAGCGGUGAAAUGCUUAGAUAUGACAUAGAACACCUAUUGCGAAGGCAGCUUACUACGCAUAUAUUGACGCUGAGGCACGAAAGCGUGGGGAUCAAACAGGAUUAGAAACCCCUGUAGUCC